rnacentral:rRNA from 1 species
GACGAACCGUACGAACGUUAUUCGGAAUUACUGGGCUUAAAGGGUGCGUAGGCUGCGCGGAAAGUUGGGUGUGAAAUCCCUCGGCUCAACCGAGGAACUGCGCCCAAAACUACCGUGCUCGAGGGAGACAGAGGUGAGCGGAACUUAGGGUGGAGCGGUGAAAUGCGUUGAUAUCCUAAGGAACACCCGUGGCGAAAGCGGCUCACUGGGUCUCUUCUGACGCUGAGGCACGAAAGCUAGGGUAGCAAACGGG